rnacentral:tRNA from 1 species
UAGCUCAGUUGGUAGAGCAUGGUGCUUGCAAUGCCAGGGUUGUAGGUUCGAUUCCCAC